CAAACAUACUCGUUUUCCUGGCACUAUAGUGCCCUGAGGGUGCCCCCACCCUGAGGGUGGGGGCACCCUCAGAGCACUAUAGUGCCAGGAAAACGAGUAUGUUUGGAAAACG
rnacentral:miRNA from 1 species